ACUUGGAAAGUUUUUUCUUAUUCUGGGUAAAUUUAUAUCGCAGGUUGGUAAACUCUCGGUGAGGUUUCAGAGGCGGAAUAACGCUUAAAAAGGCUCAGAGGUUAGAAUCGAGAGGUAGUGAAUAUAGCCACUGUAUUUAUUUGGUCGUUGACGCAGAAUCGCUGGGAUGUUGCUGCAAGAAAGGCUCAAGGGUCCUGGCCAGCGCUUGAACUGGCGGGAAUGGGAGCCGCACGUGAAGGUUUGGAUGGCACACAGGUUCGAUUCUUAGAGGCCACCAUGUGGUUUAUUUCUGCUUUUGUUCCUGUUGGAUCGGUUGGUUAAACCGGUUUUGCUGGUGGCAAUGGUGAUGGUUAGAACUUAACCGUGGUAGUGGUGCCGCAGGUGGCUGUCUGUUGUGAAGGUUGGACGUCCUCGAAUGGGUUGGCAAUCCCCAGACAUAACACACCCAACAAACCGAUCACCCUGCGAGCAGGCGCUUGAAAUUAAUAUCGCCCACCGGGAUGAAACGAAAAAUUUUGGGUCGGAUGGAGCCCGAUGGCUAGACUCUUGCUGAUAUUUGAAUCAUAGCUUCGCCCACAGGCUUCCGAACUUAGUUAAUAUGGGUGUGAUCUCCACGUCUGAAACCUAACGGGAUUGGCUAACAAGGGUAUGAUAGACAGCUCCUAGCUCCAGGAACCUGUAAACUUCAAA
rnacentral:sRNA from 1 species